CCUACGGGUCGCAGCAGUGGGGAAUAUUGGACAAUGGGCGCAAGCCUGAUCCAGCAAUGCCGCGUGUGUGAAGAAGGCCUUCGGGUUGUAAAGCACUUUUAUCAGGAACGAAAUACCACGGGUUAAUACCCUAUGGGGCUGACGGUACCUGAGGAAUAAGCACCGGCUAACUUCGUGCCAGCAGCCGCGGUAAUACGAAGGGUGCAAGCGUUAAUCGGAAUUACUGGGCGUAAAGCGUGCGUAGUCGGUUUGUUAAGUCUGCUGUGAAAGCCCUGGGCUCAACCUGGGAAUGGCAGUGGAAACUGGCGAGCUAGAGUGUGAUAGAGGAUGGUGGAAUUCCCGGUGUAGCGGUGAAAUGCGUAGAGAUCUGGAGGAAUACCGGUGGCGAAGGCGGCCCCCUGGACGAAGACUGACGCUCAGGUGCGAAAGCGUGGGGAGCAAACAGGAUUAGAUACCCCUGUAGUC
rnacentral:rRNA from 1 species